GGGAGGCGGGAUACAACCAUGCAGUCGAACGAUGAAGCCCAGCUUGCUGGGUAGAUUAGUGGCGAACGGGUGAGUAACACGUGAGUAACCUGCCCUUGACUCUGGGAUAAGCCUGGGAAACUGGGUCUAAUACCGGAUAGGAACGUCCACCGCAUGGUGGUUGUUGGAAAGAUUUAUCGGUCAUGGAUGGACUCGCGGCCUAUCAGCUUGUUGGUGAGGUAAUGGCUCACCAAGGCGACGACGGGUAGCCGGCCUGAGAGGGUGACCGGCCACACUGGGACUGAGACACGGCCCAGACUCCUACGGGAGGCAGCAGUGGGGAAUAUUGCACAAUGGGCGAAAGCCUGAUGCAGCGACGCCGCGUGAGGGAUGACGGCCUUCGGGUUGUAAACCUCUUUCAGUAGGGAAGAAGCGAAAGUGACGGUACCUGCAGAAGAAGCACCGGCUAACUACGUGCCAGCAGCCGCGGUAAUACGUAGGGUGCGAGCGUUAUCCGGAAUUAUUGAGCGUAAAGAGCUCGUAGGCGGUUUGUCGCGUCUGUCGUGAAAGUCCGGGGCUUAACCCCGGAUCUGCGGUGGGUACGGGCAGACUAGAGUGCAGUAGGGGAGACUGGAAUUCCUGGUGUAGCGGUGGAAUGCGCAGAUAUCAGGAGGAACACCGAUGGCGAAGGCAGGUCUCUGGGCUGUAACUGACGCUGAGGAGCGAAAGCAUGGGGAGCGAACAGGAUUAGAUACCCUGGUAGUCCAUGCCGUAAACGUUGGGCACUAGGUGUGGGGACCAUUCCACGGUUUCCGCGCCGCAGCUAACGCAUUAAGUGCCCCGCCUGGGGAGUACGGCCGCAAGGCUAAAACUCAAAGGAAUUGACGGGGGCCCGCACAAGCGGCGGAGCAUGCGGAUUAAUUCGAUGCAACGCGAAGAACCUUACCAAGGCUUGACAUGUUCUCGAUCGCCGUAGAGAUACGGUUUCCCCUUUGGGGCGGGAUCACAGUGGUGCAUGGUUGUCGUCAGCUCGUGUCGUGAGAUGUUGGGUUAAGUCCCGCAACGAGCGCAACCCUCGUUCCAUGUUGCCAGCACGUAAUUGG
rnacentral:rRNA from 1 species